UUUUUUUUUUUUAUGAUUCAUACAUAUGUAUAUAUGCAGUUUCCAUUGUAGUUCGUACUUUUUUCGUUUUAUUUAUUUGUAUCCCCAUUAUUUAUUUAUUUUAUUUUAUUUUAUUUUAUUUUAUUUUAUUUUUUUUUUUCCCGCUUUUUUCCUCUUUCACAGACACAACUAGAAAAAAUAAUAAACAAGGUAAUUGCUUCAAAAUAUUUUUUUAAAAAUGAUGAUAUUUCUUACAGCGCUAAAGAUUUAGAUUUUAAAUGGCGUUUAAAAAAAAAAAAAAAAAAAAAAAAAAAAAAAAAAAAAAAAAAAAAAUAAAAAAAAUAAUAGAUAAAAAUUUCAAACAUUGUCGUCAUAAUAAUAUUUACAAUGAUGAAAAAACAAACAUUAAAUCACAAAACGUUUCCCAAAUAUAUCAAAGUGAAAUUAAUUUUAACAAUAGUUUUUUUAAAACACCUGAUAAAAAUAACUUAAAUAAUAUUAAUAAUAAAAAUAAGAAUAUUAAAGAAACAAACAACCUAACUAUUGAUGAAUCAUAUAUAUCUCUAUUUCCUGUACCUGAUAUUAAAAAUGUCGUUAUUAACGAUGAAAAUAAAAAUAAAAAUACCAACAGUGAAAUGUUAAAUAAUUCAGAUGCACAACCGGUAACGGGUGGAGACACAAACAAUAUUCUUAAUCAAACUAACAAUGAUAAUAAUAAUAAUAAUAAUAAUAAUAAUAAUAAUAAUAAUAAUAAUGAUGGUGGUGGUACCGGUAUUAAUAAAUAUACCAAAAUAACAAAUAAUAACCGUUUUAAGAUUGUUAGUGAUAUAAAUUUAUUACAAUUAAAUAAUAUAGAAGAACAGAAAUCCAAUCGUUUAUUUUCUUCAAAUUAUUCCACCAAAAGUUUAACAUCUUCCUCAAAUUGUUUAAUGCAAUUGUCAUCUUCGUCGUCAUUGUCUUACAGUUCUAGUAACAGUGUGAAAACAAACAAAACCUCAACAAAUUAUAAUCAUAUUAACAAUGAUAAAAACGAUUACAAUGAUAAAAACGAUNNNNNNNNNNACGAUUACAACGAUAACAACGAUCACAACGAUAAAAACGAUUACAACAAUAAAAACGAUUACAACGAUAACAACGAUAACAACGAUCACAACGAUCACAACGAUAACAACGAUAAUAAUAAACUGCAUAAAUCCAACCAUGCGUCAAAACGUUUACCAUAUAGAUUUGCAACCGAAGUUGUUUCCAAAUCGAAAGGUCCAACACAUUUGCUAAACACAUUAAGUGUAAAACAAAAAAAAAACAAAAUUAUAAAAAAAAAAAAAAACAAAAAAGAAAUAAACACUUAUUAUGACAACAUAAAAAUGAUGCAUAAUUUGUGUAAAAUAAAUUUAUUUAUUAAAGAAGCAAAAUUAUUAUUUUAUAAUAAAAAUAUUAAUAUUAGUGAUAUUAAUAUUUAUAUUACGACUAUAAUAGAAGAAAAGAAAUAUGUAGGUAAAGUAAAAAAACUAAGCUUUCGAACUUUACCUAUGAAUAACUUAACAUUCAAUGAUACUGUUAAUCACAAUAUUAAAGAUAUAUUUUCAGACAUAGUUAUAAAUAUAAAAUAUAAAUAUAAAAAAAAAGAUAAAGAGGAAAUAUUACUUGGUCGUGCCAUUAUACCAUUAUUUUUACUUUUAAAUACAUAUAAAUAUAAAAUGAAAAAAGUAAAAGAUAAAAUCAGAUAUUAUAUAAAAUGUUUUUUAUGGUUACACAUCUUUCCUAGUAAUAACAAAUUGUUUAAUUAUAAAUUUUUCAAACCUAUUGAAGGUUUUGAACAUUAUGGUAUGUCUAAUCCUUUAUAUACACUAGGUUUUAUAAGUGUUAAAAUUAAUAUUAUUUUUAAACAAAAUCCUAUUUUUUUAAUUCUUGUUAGUAACAUGAGAAAACCAAUAUUUUAUUAUAAAACACCGUCACAAUUUGAACCUUUAUACAGUCAAUACCAAAGUGAUAAUUUUUUUUAUUAUGUAACUUGUUUACCCUUAUGGAUUUAUAAAUUUUUUUAUAUAUUUAACAUCAACAGAAUUGAACCUAUUUUAUUAAAUAAAUAUGAUUGGUUAUUUAUUAUUUUAUUUUGGUUAUUUUUUUAUAGAUUAAUUGUUUUAUCACCAUUUUUUCAAAUUUAUGUUCAUUUAUUUUUUUGCAUCUUUUUUAUUUCUUUGUCCUAUAAAUUUGGAAUGUACCCACAAAAGAGGUUCAUUAAAUAUACUUUUAGGCCAUUUCAAAUAAAAAAAAAUGUAAAAAAUAAUUCGAAUCAGAUUAACAACAUAGGGUUAAAACGAAUGAGUGUAACAACAGCUACUACACAUAAAAAAAACCAACAUGUAGGGAUAACUAUGAAUAAUAAAGAAUUUAUAUGUCCUUAUAAUUUUCACUCACACUAUAAUCAUAGUAGUGGAAUACCGGCUGAUAAAUUGAGUGAAAAAGGAGAACACAGCCAGGGAUAUAGUCAGGGACAUAGUCAGGGACAUAGUCAGAGACAUAGUCAGGGAUAUGCGUCAGAAAAUAAUGAAAAAAAUAUACAAAAAGAAGAACCUAUAUUAGUUCCAUCCCAAAAAAUAUUUAAUGUUAAUAUAAAUGGUCAAACGGUUCACACAACACAUUUAAAAAAUAAAAAAGAAAGUUCACCAAAUACUUACACAAAUAAUAAUAGUACCAAAAAAAAUAUAUUCUCAAAUAAUGGUUUAAACAUUUAUGACAAAUAUAAAUCUUUUUUUUCUAAUAGUAUUAACAAUGUUAAAGAUUCUGGAUGUGGUAAGAAAACAGAAAUGAACAUGAGUAAUAACUAUAGUAGCGUUCCUAGUACCAAUAAUAUAAACACCAACCAUGACAAUUCUAUUGCUGUUCAUAAUAAAAAACAUUCUGAUAUGGACGUCUCAACAACUGUAGAUGAAGAACUAUGUCUUAAUAAGGACCCCGUUGAGGGAAAAAACGAUGGUAAUAACAAUUGGUCGAAUGAAAAACAAAACGAAAAAACGGUAAGUAAUUGUGAAAGUAGUGUUAAUAAUAAUGACCAUAAUGUCAAUAAUGAUCAUAAUGACCAUAAUGUCCAUAAUGACCAUAAUGUCCAUAAUGACCAUAAUGUCCAUAAUGACCAUAAUGACCAUAGAAAGAACAGCGAUAAAAAAAAUGGAGACAGAAGGGAUAAUAACAGUGAAGACGAACAUAACCCAAAUGAUUUAAUUGUGAAUAAAAAUGAAAAAAUUAAUAACGUAACAAAAUUUGCGAACAAGGUAAAAAACAUAAUGUUUGACGCAAAAGAAAAAACAAUGUUAGAGAACUUAGAUUGGAAUAAAAACGUUUUGGGUUUUAUGAACUUAUUUAAUAUGAAAGAUAAAAAUAAAGAAAAAAAUGAAGACACAAAUGAAGACACAAAUGAGAAUGAUUAUUAUGAACAAAUAGAACCAGAAAAUAUAACAUAUAUUAAAAAAAAACAGUUAAAUUCAAAACAGGAAGUAAUACAUAGGGAGGAAAAAAAUAAUAUGUUAUACGAUACCUCAAGCAAUAUAACAAUAAAUACAUUAAACGAAUCAAUGGAUCAAUAUAGUGAAUUGAAUAUAAACUGUAAAAAAAAUAAUAUAAUUAAAACAUAUAGUAAAGAAAAAUAUAAUAACAUUGUUAUUAUAAAUUCUAAUUAUAAUGUAUUGGAUGAAAAUUGUUUUGAUUAUAACAUCGAUUUACAUGAAAAAAAUGACAAUGGUACUGGUACUGGUACUGGUACUGGCACUGGCACUGGCACUGGCACUGGCACUGGUACUGGUAUUGGCAAUACCAAUUUAACAAACAAAACAAAUCAUUCAAAUAAGAUAUGUGAUACAUACAAUUCGGUUUAUAAUGUUGCAUGUAAUAACAGUAACAUGUAUUAUAACAGUUAUACAUGUGCUAAUAGUGACGUAUGUAAUAAUAGCGACGUAUGUAAUAAUAGCGACAUACUCGAAGGUGAUAACACUGCAACUCCUAAUGGCAUUAAAAAAUGCUCACAUUCGAACAGUUUUUUAGAUACUAAAACAUUAAAGAAAAAAUUAAAUAUGAAAUCUUUUAAAAAUAAUUUAUUUUCUUUUACUGAACCUAAAAAAAAUGUUAUGGAUGAAAAAAAUAAUGCAUUAGAUGAAAAAAAUAAUGUUAUGGAUGAA
rnacentral:lncRNA from 1 species